rnacentral:rRNA from 1 species
GACGAACGCUGGCGGCGUGCUUAACACAUGCAAGUCGAGCGGUAAGGCCCUUUCGGGGGUACACGAGCGGCGAACGGGUGAGUAACACGUGGGUGACCUGCCCUCAGCUCUGGGAUAAGCCUGGGAAACCGGGUCUAAUACCGGAUAUGACUCCAUGACGCAUGUUGUGGGGUGGAAAGCCUUGUGCGGCUGAGGAUGGGCCCGCGGCCUAUCAGCUUGUUGGUGGGGUGAUGGCCUACCAAGGCGACGACGGGCAGCCGGCCUGAGAGGGCGACCGGCCACACUGGGACUGAGACACGGCCCAGACUCCUACGGGAGGCAGCAGUGGGGAAUCUUGCGCAAUGGGCGAAAGCCUGACGCAGCGACGCCGCGUGAGGGAUGACGGCCUCGGUUGUAA